CACAGAGGGCAGCUUAGGUAUGUGGAUAAAGCUGCGACGCCAUUUCGACGUUUCUACGUGUUUCGUAGUGUGACCUGACGGGCGUCCCUCAUAAGUUCGCGCUUUUUCGACAGAUUUUCCUGAUAGACUCAGAAAUGUCGCGCUAUCGUGAAUGGGAUCUAUCUUGCAAGGUUUACGUGGGCAACCUGGGAAGUAGCGCUAGCAAACAUGAGAUUGAAAGUGCAUUUAGUAAAUAUGGUCCAUUGAGAAAUGUAUGGGUGGCUAGAAAUCCACCUGGCUUUGCAUUUGUGGAAUUUGAAGAUCCGCGAGAUGCAGAAGAUGCAGUGAGAGGAUUGGACGGAACACGAUGUUGCGGUACUAGAGUGAGAGUAGAGAUGUCCUCUGGGAGAAGUCGUCGUGGAGGUGGCGGUCGUAGGCCUGGUCCUCGAUAUUCCAGAUCCUGGUCGAGAAGUCCACGGAGAUCAUCGAUUAAUCAUUACUCCAGAUUCUACCAGCGUCAGCUCCUAGCUCUGCUCGUCUCCCCGCACUACUACUACUUCUACUACUACUGCUACUACUUCUACAGCCACCGUGAAAAAGCGUAUGCGUACGCAAAAAAAGCGAAUCGCCAAUCUCGCAAUCGUCAAUUGAACAAAACUGAACAAAAAAAAUAUAGCCUGCCUGCCCACUAACCUCCCAACACCAAGUCACCAUCAGUCACCACCAAGUCACCGAAUAUAUAGGAAGCCGUCCGUACGUCUGUCACGUCACGUCACGUCACGUCGCCCGUCGAUGUUGUGCGUUGUGGUGCGACGCGCACACAGCACACAACGGCGCAACAACCAAAAACAACAGUUUUCGUGCGUCGUCACCGCUGCCGGAGUACCGCCAGUGCCCGAGACUGCUACCUUCGGAAAAAAAAGAAAAAAAUACCAAAAAUUGCUUUUUUUCGUUGCUGCCCCCCCCUUCGAGUUCGCCGUCGUUGCACCGCAAAAUAUCGUCUUGAACCGUCACAAAAAAAUCCAUUUGCCGCUCCGUUGCGGAAUUCUCCCCUUUGAUCACCACUACUAUUAUUACUACUACUACUCUUCCACCAACCACCACCACCACUACCACCAAUCGACCGAUCACCAAGUGUUGUUGUGAUCCACUUUCUUCGACUCUUCGUCUCAGCUUUAGCUCGGGGGACACAUCGAAUCAAUCGCCAAAAACAAAAUUCGCCACCGUGAGGAAAAAUGUCACCCACAACCGGCCACCGCCGCCAUCACCAGUUCGUAACGAACUAAAAUCGCGAUGCAAACAAAAAAAAAAGAAUUAAACCGUCUGUACAGUAAUUCUGUCCACCGGCGCGUCUCUCCAUUCGACUACGAUCGACUGUCUUCCCGACUAUUCGUCGUUUCGAGACCGACGUUUCUAUUCUGCCACUGCCACUACUAGUAUUACCGCUACUGCUACUUCUACCACUACUGCUACUGCCACUACUCGUCGACCAUCACUUAGGGACGUGUGUUAGCCGCAACAACAACUGAACGCGCGAGAGUUGCCGCCGAGAGAUCUUCUCGACCUUCGACUCCUCGAGCGAACGCAAAAAAGCGAAAUGAUCACCACCUACUACACACCAUCCCACCACCACCCACCAACCAACUACCACCACCAACCACCACUACAUGUUCACAGUUAUCUGGUCGAGAUCUCGCAGCCCUCGCAGGAGGUCUUUGUCACGAAGUCGCAGCCGAGAUCGCCGUUCACGUUCGGAUUCCCGUGACAGACGUUAGAUGCUAAAAGUUCAAGAGAAAGAGAGGUAGAUAGAAAGAACGGACCGACUUUAUGUGCCGAGCGGAAGACAGAAAAAUGAGAGAGAUAAAGCGAGAAACAAUUUUGUAUGUACAUAAUAAAAAUUGAUUGCUACUCAUACAUACAUAUAUACAUACAUACAUACAUACAUACUAUCGUGCUAUCGUUUGAGGUUAUAAACGACCAUGAUAAAAAUGCGACAGAAAGCAAAAUAAAAGACGUUUCGACAGGUUUUGUGGAUGACUGUGAAUUUAGUCAAUAAGUUUCUCAACAUAUAUGUAUAUCUAUUCCACAAAUAUAACUUAUUCUGAUGCACGUAUAGCUAACACGAUCAUCAAGUUGUGUGCAUUAUAUUAAUUAAUAAUCCAAAUAUAUUAUCCAAAUAUGUGACGUCAGAAUAUCAUUUAUUAAAAUAAAUGCGAUAAAAAAUAAUCACUUAUUAUUUUUUUUAAGUUGUGAUUAUUGUCAAGAAUAUUAACUAUUUUGUCAGAAAGAUAAAAAUCGAAAAUUUUGUUUGGACAUAUUGAUUAUUUUAUAUUUGUACUUUAACUUUAAGACAUAACAAAAUAAACUUGUGAAUGAUAAUGUGAAUGU